GUUUAAAAAUAUUAAUUAUCUAUAGUUUGAUAUUUAUUGCUAAAAUUACAUCACAAUUACUAUCGGAUGUCAUUAAAUUAACUAAAUCUGUUGAUCCUUUAACUAAAUCUGUUGGAUUAAUACCUGAUUCAAAAUUAUCCCUGCUUAAUUUAUUAACAAAUAAUAUUCUUGAAACACCUGAUGGUGGGACUAUAUCUGAAGGCGAUAUUGUAACUUAUGGUAAAACAAGAGUUGGUCUCAAACAAGACGGAGACUUAUGGCCCGAUGCUAUCAUUCCCUAUGUGUUUCACAAAUCCAUUGAAAGUGAAAAUAAAAAAUUGAUAAUUGAAGCGAUAAAACAUUGGGAAGAAAGUACUUGUAUUCGCUUCAGACAAAAGAAACCAAAAGAUGAAUACUUUGUUCGCUUCAGAGCUGAUACAUCUGGAUGCUGGUCUGCAAUUGGCCGACAAUAUGAUAAAACUGGACCUCAAGACAUCAGUUUAGGCAACGG